UUGGAUUUGGGAUGAUUAUUUGUAUGCGAACCCUUAUAUAUCUAUAUCAGCACCCCUUAAGCAUUAUCCAUGGGCCUAUUCCCAAUCAGAAUCAUCGGGGGAAGACCUGAAUCGAACUGUAAGGGGGCUGAUUUCCUCCAGUUUUGGUCCCUUGUGGUUCUAAUCUGAUUUUGGGUUAGUUCUGAGAUGGCUCUAGUUUGAGUUAGGAUCUAGGAUGGCAGCGGGUUAGGGUCAAUUAUGCUUCAGCUUCAAACUGAAAAAAUCAAUUUUUUUUUAAAUAAUAGACAAAAUUUUAAUGUAAAAAUUAAAUGGAGUGUGUGAAAAGAUAGUUUUAGGAAAAAGUUUAUUUUUUAAAAGAAAAUGAAUUGCUAUGGAAAAAAAAAUAAAGAAUUUGAAAAUGAAAUAGAAAAAAUAAAGAAUUAAGUUUGCA
rnacentral:misc_RNA from 1 species